rnacentral:rRNA from 1 species
UGAGGAAUAUUGGUCAAUGGAGGCAACUCUGAACCAGCCAAGUCGCGUGAAGGAUGAAGGUCUUAUGGAUUGUAAACUUCUUUUAUACAGGAAUAAAUUGGGGGACGUGUCCACCUUUGCAUGUACUGUAUGAAUAAGGAUCGGCUAACUCCGUGCCAGCAGCCGCGGUAAUACGGGGGGUGCAAGCGUUAUCCGGAUUUAUUGGGUUUAAAGGGUCCGUAGGCGGACUUAUAAGUCAGUGGUGAAAGCCUGUCGCUUAACGAUAGAACUGCCAUUGAUACUGUAAGUCUUGAGUAUAUUUGAGGUAGCUGGAAUAAGUAGUGUAGCGGUGAAAUGCAUAGAUAUUACUUAGAACACCAAUUGCGAAGGCAGGUUACCAAGAUAUAACUGACGCUGAGGGACGAAAGCGUGGGGAGCGAACA